CGUCCUCAUCUUGUUCAACUUUGAGAGAAGACGACUGAACACCAGAGAACACUUCCCCCACAUCGUAAGUCUCACACCCACAUCAUCUUCUUCAACUCCUUCCCCCACCAGACUGUUUCGCCUUCAACAAAAACGACCACCCCUUCCCCGUUGAAUUUUGUUUUCUUCAGGACCUUCUCUCCCUGUCGUUCGUCUUCUUCGACGGACAUAGAGAACCAGCCACCACUUAAAUCCAGAAAAACAGCUCCAAAGAGCAGCAAAAAUCAGUCCAAAAACUGCAUCUCAAAGGCAACGAAACCUAGCAAAACACCACCAAACCCCAGCUAAAAAAGAGAUCAAUAACCAACUAGAAAUCACAGCCUUAAACGCCACUUCUCUAUAAGUUUCAGUCAAGCUUUGAGGUUUCCGGCGAGGUUCCUUUCGAGGUCGACAAUGUUGGUUUUGCAUUCAUCCACUUCAUAGACAAUCUGUUGUACGAAUUUCCUAAUCAACAUAUUGGAAAGUUUGAGGUACACAUCAUGUAGCUCUCAAGUUUUGGAAAUAGAACGAAGUGCUGCCCGAUUUCUCUGAUAACUUCCAUUAUUGAAUUUCUAGCAGUUUCAUAAUUUCAUUAGAAUUUUCAUUUGUAACUAAUUAAGGAUUGUUUGGACUGUAGAAACUAUUUGUUUUAGCAUAAUUUGAGUGCUAUGUCUAAUAUUGUUUAGUACAACUUAGUUGCAUUUUCGAAUCUAAUAUCAUGUUAGCAUAGGUGUUGAA